AUGCUUUUCCAUUUGUUCAGAUGGCAAAAGCUUCAACAGAAAAUAAGAGAGCAGAAUUUCAAUGGGGAAGCAGUGUGCUGGAUAAGGAGAGAAGCAAUAAUCGUCCUAGCCCUGAGACACAGAGCCCAAAGAACAGGUGUUACUGGGAGCUUUGAAGAUGUGAAUUUAAAAGCACAAAAGAAAACAACUGAAAAGAACUGAUUUUUGUCUUUUUGUGAACCUGAAUUAUAAAUUGGACUGAGCUGAUGCUGAGUGCGUAUCACAGAAUGGCUGAGAUCGGAAGGGACCUCCAGAGAUCAUCUAGUCCAUUGCCCCUGCUCAAGCUGGGUCACCUAGAACACGUUACACAGGAUCACAUCCAGGCAAGUUUUCAAUAUCUCCAAAGAAGGAAACUCCACAACCCCUCUGGGUAGCCUGUUCCAGUGCUCUGUCACCUGAACUGUAAAGAAGUGUCCCCUCAUACAGCAAUGAAACCUCCUGUGGUUCAAUUUAUACCCAUUACCCCUUGUCCUAUCACUGAGAAGAGUAUCACCCCGUCCACUUUACUUUGUCCCGUCAGGUAUUUAGAGGUUGAUAAGAUCUUAAUCUCCCCUUCUCUAGGCUAAACAGGCCCAGCUCAUGUAGUCUUUCUUCAUAGAACAGAUGCUCCAAUCCGUUAAUCAUCUUUGUGGCUUUGUGCUGGAAUUUAGAAGUUCUACGUCUCUCUUGUACUGUGGAACACAGAACUUCACACAGUAUUCCAGGUGUGGCCUCACUAGAACUGAGUAGAAGGGGAGGAUCACUUAUCUCGACCUGCUGUUCAUACUCCUCUUGAUGCAGGCUAGGAUCCCAUUGGCCUUCUUGGCCACAAGGGCACAAUUUGUUCUUAUUUGUUCUCAUUAUUUUUUUAUUAUUAUUAUUUUUUUUUUCGGGGGGAUGUGUGAGUUAUCUUGCUCUAAGCUUUUCUUAUCCAGACACUCUUAAUGAACUUGGAAGUACUGUGCUGCAUGGGAGUUGGUCUAUCAAUCUAUUAUUUUUACCCAUUCAAAAGUGGAUAAUCUUUGUCUUCAAAUUAAUAAUCUGCCCAUAUGAAAGAAGUUAAUAUGACACUCUAUGGGUCAUAUUAACAUAUGGGUCUUUGUGAUAUCUUAAGAUAUCCCAAAGGAGCUAUCUAAAAUAGGGAUGGAAUUAGGAACAUAUAUAUAUAUUGUUUUUUUUUUUUUUUUUAAAUAAGUAUAAAGUAUUGCUUUUUUUGAUCAACUACGUGGUUACGGAACUUAACAAUCUUUUUAUGUUAUAGUGUUGCAGAAUUUGUUAUAUCAAUAAGGUACAUAAGUGGUUACAUCCCAUCUAACAACUCUUCUGAAAAGAGUGGCAUUAUUACAAUGACAUGUGCAAUCUUGGUGAAUUUCUCUACCAUAGGUACAGAGGAAUCUUUUUACCUCGUAAGCUCAAUUCUUUUGUAGAAAUACUGUUUUUCUUUCUCACAAUAUCCAUUUAUUCAGUGGAUAUUGCAAGAUAUCAAGCAUUCAAGGAGAUUAACUUGCCUGUCCCUUCAGAUUUGGGUACAAUCCCUCCCUCCAGGUAGUUCUGGUAAGCAUUAUAUAAAUCAGAUACUUCCUAAAACUGAAUAUUACUCAAGAAAACAAUGCAAGUUUUCCCCAAGUUGAGAUGUCUUUCUCCAUACCCUCUUACAAAAGCUGUGUCAAAUCUCCUUAAUUAGCAUUGACGUGAUACCAACUGACAAUUGUACAGGCUGUUCAGAAACGUUUGUGUUGCAAUGUGGUGUUAUUUUUCACUGUGGGAUGACUAGAUUGCUCUGUAGUACUGGACUCCAACAUAACACAUUAAAGUUUAACCCAUUCAUGUUCUGGAAGUAAUAGGUGUUGUCAGGUAGGAACAUCCCUUUCUGGAAAUUUUACAGCUUGAAUAAUUGGAUAAACUGUAACCAUUUUAGACUUCAUGAAUAAACAUUUCUUAGACAAUAGUUAGGAGCUUCUG
rnacentral:lncRNA from 1 species